UUAUUUCAUAAUAAGUUCCCCGACG
rnacentral:piRNA from 1 species